AACGAACGCUGGCGGCAGGCCUAAUACAUGCAAGUCGAACGCUCCAGCAAUGGAGAGUGGCAGACGGGUGAGUAACGCGUGGGAACCUUCCCAGUGGUACGGAAUAGCUCAGGGAAACUUGAGGUAAUACCGUAUACGCCCCAAGGGGGAAAGAUUUAUCGCCAUUGGAUGGGCCCGCGUCGGAUUAGCUAGUUGGUGGGGUAAUGGCCUACCAAGGCGACGAUCCGUAGCUGGUCUGAGAGGAUGAUCAGCCACACUGGGACUGAGACACGGCCCAGACUCCUACGGGAGGCAGCAGUAGGGAAUAUUGGACAAUGGGCGAAAGCCUGAUCCAGCCAUGCCGCGUGAGUGACGAAGGCCUUCGGGUUGUAAAGCUCUUUUGGCGGGGACGAUAAUGACAGUACCCGCAGAAUAAGCUCCGGCUAACUUCGUGCCAGCCGCCGCGGUAAGAC
rnacentral:rRNA from 1 species